GUAGCCGGCCUGAGAGGGCGACCGGCCACACUGGGACUGAGACACGGCCCAGACUCCUACGGGAGGCAGCAGUGGGGAAUAUUGCACAAUGGGCGCAAGCCUGAUGCAGCGACGCCGCGUGAGGGAUGACGGCCUUCGGGUUGUAAACCUCUUUCAGCAGGGAAGAAGCGCAAGUGACGGUACCUGCAGAAGAAGCACCGGCUAACUACGUGCCAGCAGCCGCGGUAAUACGUAGGGUGCGAGCGUUGUCCGGAAUUAUUGGGCGUAAAGAGCUCGUAGGCGGCCUGUUGCGUCGAUUGUGAAAGCCCGGGGCUCAACCCCGGGUCUGCAGUCGAUACGGGCAGGCUUGAGUUCGGUAGGGGAGAUCGGAAUUCCUGGUGUAGCGGUGAAAUGCGCAGAUAUCAGGAGGAACACCGGUGGCGAAGGCGGAUCUCUGGGCCGAUACUGACGCUGAGGAGCGAAAGCGUGGGGAGCGAACAGGAUUAGAUACCCUGGUAGUCCACGCCGUAAACGGUGGGAACUAGGUGUGGGCGACAUUCCACGUCGUCCGUGCCGCAGCUAACGCAUUAAGUUCCCCGCCUGGGGGAGUACGG
rnacentral:rRNA from 1 species